rnacentral:rRNA from 1 species
UCGAGCGGUAGCACAGAGAGCUUGCUCUCGGGUGACGAGCGGCGGACGGGUGAGUAAUGUCUGGGAAACUGCCUGAUGGAGGGGGAUAACUACUGGAAACGGUAGCUAAUACCGCAUAACGUCGCAAGACCAAAGUGGGGGACCUUCGGGCCUCAUGCCAUCAGAUGUGCCCAGAUGGGAUUAGCUAGUAGGUGGGGUAACGGCUCACCUAGGCGACGAUCCCUAGCUGGUCUGAGAGGAUGACCAGCCACACUGGAACUGAGACACGGUCCAGACUCCUACGGGAGGCAGCAGUGGGGAAUAUUGCACAAUGGGCGCAAGCCUGAUGCAGCCAUGCCGCGUGUGUGAAGAAGGCCUUCGGGUUGUAAAGCACUUUCAGCGGGGAGGAAGGCGUUAAGGUUAAUAACCUUGGCGAUUGACGUUACCCGCAGAAGAAGCACCGGCUAACUCCGUGCCAGCAGCCGCGGUAAUACGGAGGGUGCAAGCGUUAAUCGGAAUUACUGGGCGUAAAGCGCACGCAGGCGGUCUGUCAAGUCGGAUGUGAAAUCCCCGGGCUCAACCUGGGAACUGCAUUCGAAACUGGCAGGCUAGAGUCUUGUAGAGGGGGGUAGAAUUCCAGGUGUAGCGGUGAAAUGCGUAGAGAUCUGGAGGAAUACCGGUGGCGAAGGCGGCCCCCUGGACAAAGACUGACGCUCAGGUGCGAAAGCGUGGGGAGCAAACAGGAUUAGAUACCCUGGUAGUCCACGCCGUAAACGAUGUCGAUUUGGAGGUUGUGCCCUUGAGGCGUGGCUUCCGGAGCUAACGCGUUAAAUCGACCGCCUGGGGAGUACGGCCGCAAGGUUAAAACUCAAAUGAAUUGACGGGGGCCCGCACAAGCGGUGGAGCAUGUGGUUUAAUUCGAUGCAACGCGAAGAACCUUACCUGGUCUUGACAUCCACAGAACUUUCCAGAGAUGGAUUGGUGCCUUCGGGAACUGUGAGACAGGUGCUGCAUGGCUGUCGUCAGCUCGUGUUGUGAAAUGUUGGGUUAAGUCCCGCAACGAGCGCAACCCUUAUCCUUUGUUGCCAGCGGUUCGGCCGGGAACUCAAAGGAGACUGCCAGUGAUAAACUGGAGGAAGGUGGGGAUGACGUCAAGUCAUCAUGGCCCUUACGACCAGGGCUACACACGUGCUACAAUGGCAUAUACAAAGAGAAGCGACCUCGCGAGAGCAAGCGGACCUCAUAAAGUAUGUCGUAGUCCGGAUUGGAGUCUGCAACUCGACUCCAUGAAGUCGGAAUCGCUAGUAAUCGUAGAUCAGAAUGCUACGGUGAAUACGUUCCCGGGCCUUGUACACACCGCCCGUCACACCAUGGGAGUGGGUUGCAAAAGAAGUA